rnacentral:ncRNA from 2 species
AUGCUUCAGUAUAUUUAAAAUCCUUAAUCAAGAAUAAAAGUGUUCGGGAAUGGCGUGAAAAUCGCCGACGGUACCCGCCGCUGUGAGAAAGGGAUGAAACCGCAAAAAAAGCCACUGGGAAACCGGGAAGGCAGCGGGAGUAAAACGAUCUUUCGAGUCAGAAGACCGGCUUUGUAUUCUUUUGAGAA